UAUUGGAACCGAAAGCUGGUUUUGUGUCACUCGAUAAUUUUAGGAUGGCACUUAUGAAACAAACGACUGAUGCCAUGAGGGAGGCCAGAGUUCUUGACAUCAUAAAUUUGCUGGAACCAUUAUCUUAUAAGCAAAUGGAUUUUGAAGAGUUCUGUGCUGCUGCAAUUAGUACAUAUCAGCUUGAGGCUCUUGAAAACUGGGAACAUAUUGCUAGUGCCGCUUUCAAUUAUUUUGAGCAAGAAGGAAACCGUG
rnacentral:misc_RNA from 1 species